UAAACGACUCUCGGCAACGGAUAUCUCGGCUCUCGCAUCGAUGAAGAACGUAGCGAAAUGCGAUACUUGGUGUGAAUUGCAGAAUCCCGUGAAUCAUCGAGUCUUUGAACGCAAGUUGCGCCCGAAGCCUUUUGGCCGAGGGCACGUCUGCCUGGGUGUAACGC
rnacentral:rRNA from 1 species